GAGACUCUGUGCGCGUGCAUAUCAAUAAGCGGAGGAAAAGAAACUAACAAGGAUUCCCUUAGUAACGGCGAGUGAAGCGGGAAGAGCUCAAAUUUGAAAUCUUCAAGGUUCUACCUUGACGAAUUGUAGUUUAUAGAAGUGUUUUCUGUUAGUAGAGUGGCAAAAGUUCUUUGGAAUAGGACAUCAUAGAGGGUGAGAAUCCCGUAUUUGGUCAUUCUUUCUAGCUUUGUGAUACACUUUCAACGAGUCGGAUUGUUUGGGAAUGCAGUCCAAAAUGGGUGGUAAAUUUCAUCUAAAGCUAAAUAUUGGCGAGAGACCGAUAGCGAACAAGUACCGUGAGGGAAAGAUGAAAAGAACUUUGAAAAGAGAGUUAAACAGUACGUGAAAUUGUCAAAAGGGAAGCGUUUGACACCAGUGUUGUUUAGUUGAAAAUCAAUUCAAUAGUUUUUGAUUCUAAGUAGUAUUGACUUCAUCAGCUUGCUGCUUUCUUUUCGGAAAUUAUUGAAUGCACUUUUCAGUUAACAGGUCAACAUCAAUUUCUUUUGUUGUAAAAGGGUAAGAGGAAGGUGGCUUACGCUUCGGCGUAAGUGUUUAUAGCCUUUUACCUCUGCAAUCGGAGAGAUUGAGGACAGCAGCGUAGACUCCUUCGGGGGUUAGAUACACUUGUGCUAAGCUAUAGCCUUGUAUAGACAACUUGUUGACUAUGCUCAGUCAUGUAGCUUACUCGCUUGUGCUAUUUUACCUACGCUUAGGAUGUUGAUCUGUAGUGCGUGCGC
rnacentral:rRNA from 1 species